rnacentral:rRNA from 1 species
CGUAGGUGGCAAGCGUUGUCCGGAUUUACUGGGCGUAAAGGGCAAGCAGGCGGAUCGUAAGUAGAAAGUGAAAGGUCGGGGCUCAACCCCAACAUUGCUUUCUAUACUGGCGGUCUUGAGUCCCGGAGGGGAGAGCGGAACGACACGUGUAGCGGUGAAAUGCGUUGAUAUGUGUCGGAACACCAAUGGCGAAGGCAGCUCUCUGGACGGGUACUGACGCUCGAUUUGCGAAAGCCGAGGUAGCGAACAGGAUU